AUUGAGACACCAGUCCUCGCAUGAUCACCAAAAUUAAGCAAUGUCAAGCUUGGUCAGUACCUAGAUGGGUGACUGCUUGGGAAUACCAGGUGUUGUAA